UACGUAGGGUGCGAGCGUUGUCCGGAAUUAUUGGGCGUAAAGAGCUCGUAGGCGGUCUGUCACGUCGGCUGUGAAAACCCGAGGCUCAACCUCGGGCCUGCAGUCGAUACGGGCAAACUAGAGUACUGCAGGGGAGACUGGAAUUCCUGGUGUAGCGGUGAAAUGCGCAGAUAUCGGGAGGAACACCAGUGGCGAAGGCGGCACUCUGGGCCGGUACUGACGCUGAGGAGCGAAAGCGUGGGGAGCGAACAGG
rnacentral:rRNA from 1 species